GAUGAACGCUGACAGAAUGCUUAACACAUGCAAGUCCACUUGAACUUCGGUUUGGGUGGCGGACGGGUGAGUAACGCGUACAGAACUUGCCUCACAGAUAGGGACAACAUUUGGAAACGAAUGCUAAUACCUGAUAUUAUGAUUAUAUGGCAUCGUAUAAUUAUGACAGCUAUAUGCGCUGUGAGAGAGCUUUGCGUCCCAUUAGCUAGUUGGAGAGGUAACGGCUCACCAGGGCGAUGAUGGGUAGCCGGCCUGAGAGGGUGAUCGGCCACAAGGGGACUGAGACACGGCCCUUACUCCUACGGGAGGCAGCAGUGGGGAAUAUUGGACAAUGGACCAAGAGUCUGAUCCAGCAAUUCUGUGUGCACGAUGAAGUUUUUCGGAAUGUAAAGUGCUUUCAGUUGGGAAGAAAAAAAUGACGGUACCAACAGAAGAAGUGACGGCUAAAUACGUG
rnacentral:rRNA from 1 species